GAAGAUCAACUCGAUUAU
rnacentral:misc_RNA from 1 species